CAGAGGUUGUCGGGAAAAAAAACUAACAUAUACAGACCGAAAAACUGUUCAAGUUACUGAAAUUUUUUGUGGAUUCAUAGAGAGAGCGCAGCAGCUACGAGACGGACGGGGAAGAUCGGGAAGGAGGAGGAGGAGAGCAAGAUGAUGACCGGCGGGAGGAACUACAGACGACUAUCAAUCGACAGCCAGAAAGUCUCUGGAUCUGUCUGUACCCCACGACGGCUCUUCUCAAGAGAGAGAGGUGUGAAGAUAUCACCGAGUCAUCAUCUUCUUAUCUGCUUCCCUAAAACGUUGUGUGAGGCCGUUUGGAGUUUCUCUAGUAGUGGCUGGGUAUGAUGACAAGGGUCCACAGUUGUAUCAGGUGGAUCCGUCUAGCUCUUAUUUCUCAUGGAAAGCUUCGGCAAUGGGAAAGAAUGUUUCGAAUGCUAAAACAUUUCUUGAGAAGAGGUG